rnacentral:rRNA from 1 species
CUAUGCGCCUUGCCAGCCCGCUCAGGUGUGCCAGCCGCGCGGUAAUACGUAGGGAGCGAGCGUUAUCCGGAAUUAUUGGGUGUAAAGGGUGCGUAGACGGGAACUUAAGUUAGUUGUGAAAUCCCUUAGCUCAACUAAGGAAUGGCAACUGAAACUGGGUUUCUUGAGUGCAGGAGAGGAAAGUGGAAUUCCUAGUGUAGCGGUGGAGUGCGCAGAUAUUAGGAGGAACACCGGUGGCGAAGGCGGCCUGCUGGACUGCAACUGACGUUGAGGCCCGAAAGCGUGGGAGCAAACAGG